GAUGAACGCUGGCGGUGUGCCUAAUACAUGCAAGUCGAGCGAACAGACGAGGAGCUUACUCCUCUGACGUUAGCGGCGGACGGGUGAGUAACACGUGGAUAACCUACCUAUAAGACUGGGAUAACUUCGGGAAACCGGAGCUAAUACCGGAUAACAUGUUGAACCGCAUGGUUCAACAGUGAAAGACGGUCUUGCUGUCACUUAUAGAUGGAUCCGCGUCGCAUUAGCUAGUUGGUAAGGUAACGGCUUACCAAGGCAACGAUGCGUAGCCGACCUGAGAGGGUGAUCGGCCACACUGGAACUGAGACACGGUCCAGACUCCUACGGGAGGCAGCAGUAGGGAAUCUUCCGCAAUGGGCGAAAGCCUGACGGAGCAACGCCGCGUGAGUGAAGAAGGUCUUCGGAUCGUAAAACUCUGUUAUUAGGGAAGAACAAAUGUGUAAGUAACUAUGCACGUCUUGACGGUACCUAAUCAGAAAACCACGGCUAACUACGU
rnacentral:rRNA from 1 species